AUUGGCUAAAAGUCAGAGCCAUCUGAUAGCAGUACUUUCUACUUCAAAAGUCAAUUUUACCUGGUUUAAAGGUACCGAUAAUAAUCAGUUCCAAAAUAAUAAGAUUCUGGAUCGGAAAUGUAAUUUCCGUGGUGAGCUAGCAUGCUCAGUUUUCGUGAAGCAAUCUCAGUUUUCGUGAAAAAAGGUGAAACCUCCACAGUGUUUUACGAAAAUUCAACAAAAGAAGUAUAAGUAGUGGAUCCAAGUGAAGCAAUUUGAUUAUAUGUACAGUAGUAUAAAUAAUUAGAAAAUUUCUUCCAAUAGGUAAAUUAUAAUGAUUGAAAAAAGUUAAAGUUGUAAUCUGUCAUAAUUAAAUACACGAUGAGGAAAUAUCAAUUAGAUAAUGAGGAAUCAGAUACUCAAAUGAGAAAAUGAUUUCAACAGUCGCUGUUACAUUGAUUUAAUGAAAAGAGGCAACCCCUCAGAUUGUUUCGUGUCCGUAACUGAACUAAUUCAGCUGAACGAUCAUCGAUAGCCACAAGGAUUUCACGAGGACUUCCUUGAGCUUGCCUCACGCUCAAGACACGAAACUACGACUCAUCGUCGAGGUUACGACCACUCUCAAUGUGAGUUGAGAAUGUGUGAAGAUAUACUACAGAAAUGAUCCUGUGAAG